UACAGAGGUGGCGAGCGUUGUUCGGAUUUAUUGGGCGUAAAGGGUCCGUAGGCGGUUUGGAAAGUCGGAUGUGAAAUCCCACAGCUCAACUGUGGAACUGCAUUCGAAACUUCCAGACUGGAGUGUGAGAGGGGUAAAGGGAAUUCCCGGUGUAAGGGUGAAAUCUGCAGAGAUCGGGAAGAACACCAGUCGCGAAGGCGCUUUACUGGCUCACAACUGACGCUGAGGGACGAAAGCCAGGGUAGCGAACGGG
rnacentral:rRNA from 1 species